rnacentral:rRNA from 1 species
ACGAACGCUGGCGGCGUGCUUAACACAUGCAAGUCGAACGGAAAGGCCCUGCUUUUGUGGGGUGCUCGAGUGGCGAACGGGUGAGUAACACGUGAGUAACCUGCCCUUGACUUUGGGAUAACUUCAGGAAACUGGGGCUAAUACCGGAUAGGAGCUCCUGCUGCAUGGUGGGGGUUGGAAAGUUUCGGCGGUUGGGGAUGGACUCGCGGCUUAUCAGCUUGUUGGUGGGGUAGUGGCUUACCAAGGCUUUGACGGGUAGCCGGCCUGAGAGGGUGACCGGCCACAUUGGGACUGAGAUACGGCCCAGACUCUUACGGGAGGCAGCAGUGGGGAAUAUUGCACAAUGGGCGGACGCCUGAUGCAGCAACGCCGCGUGCGGGAUGACGGCCUUCGGGUUGUAAACCGCUUUCGCCUGUGACGAAGCGUGAGUGACGGUAAUGGGUAAAGAAGCACCGGCUAACUACGUG